AAUAGAUUAGAUUAGAUCCCCACACAUUCAGUACAAUAAUCCUAAAUAGAAAGUGUUUGGAGAAAUAAAAAUGCUUUCUCUGUUGCCAAUGUUGACUUGGUAAUAAUAGAAUGAAUAUCAUUGAUACUUAUGCACAGAAAGAAAAACCCAAAUAAGAUUUCAUAGAAAUUCAAGAACAAUGUUUGAUGAGAAUUUCGUUGUUUUUGGUUUCUUAGCCAUCAGGAUUUUAAUUUGUAUUGAAGAAGCUCAACAAAAACUCCAUCAAUUUGAAGAUGCAAACGUUGAUUGGCAAGGAAAGCCAGAGGGCACGUGCCUCACGCCACCGAGGUCCAGCACACAGGUGGGAAAAAAAAGGGACAGGUGGGGAAAACGAGGCACAGAGAACCCAGGAGGAACCCAAAGCAGAAUCGCAAAUCCUGGAAUGCGGCAGAAAGAUGGGCAGAUGGGACUCCACGGUGUUGGGUCAGACAGUGGUGAAGGAAAUGGACCACCUUCUUUCACAAAGGUCUGCAGCAAUGGGACAAGGGAAAGCAAGGAGAACACAGGCCCACGUCAAGGAGAAGUGCCCGGGUUUACCCAGCCUGAGCCGCAGACUCCGUCCUGGGCCUGGGCAGCGCUCACCGUGAUGCCCUCCCUCCAUAUCGAGACAGUGGGAUCCACAGGGAAAGUCCUUCCACAGCCCUGACUGAGCUCCCAGGCUGCAGGCAUGUCCAGCAGAGCCCUGGGAACGCUGUCUGAAGGUCAGGUGGGGGCAGCGGCUUGGGGUCUGCAGCCUGCCUCUCCAGGGCCAGCAGUUUCCAGCUCAGUGUCCCUCUGCUUCCUGGCCUUGCGCCAGGCUUAGUUUUCUCUGUCAACCCAUCCCACUCUGAGGCCUGAUGUCGAAGUCGUCCCACCCUGAGCCAAAUCCUUCCCAUCACCCCUCUUUCCUUUUCUGAUGACGGUCCAACAUGGGAGCAUUCCAACCGGCGGUUCUGACCUGUCCCUCCGUGGCUGGGUGUCCAGUGGGAUCUCAGGUGAGCAGCUCCAUUUGUCCAAGUCAAGGCAUCGAGACUGGGUUUGAAAGAUUGCUCUUCUCCACGACUUCCUUGCCUCACAGGGGACUUGUGCCAUCCUUGGGACGGCACCAGCUGUUUUAACAUGGCCCACAACAUUGGGAGACAUGAAGGUGGGGCUCUCACUCUCUCAAAGUGGGGGCUGCUGGCUCAGGGGCCAGGAGUUCCUCUUAAGAAAAGGAAAAAUCCAGGUAAUUCCGUGCAGUGGCAAAGCAGACUGGGAAUGAGUUUUGUUGUUUGUUUGGGGAGGGAACACUAGUUUUAUUCAGUGAAAUGGUGCUUUACCAUCAAGGAAAGACUACCUGGUGGAAUGUUCCAGAACAGGCAGACUUUUGACCCCCUCUGCUGCUUAUGACCUCUUGUUCUCUGCUGUCAAGAAAACCACUUUUUUUUUUCUUUUGAGGAAAUUGAACAAAAUUAAAUGGAACUGUGUGGGCAGACAACACCUCAGUGUGUUAUUGGGGACAGAUUAGGAUCUAUAGGCUUCCUGGACGACCUUGGAUUUCACACAGUUCAGACACUUCAACACAACCCUGCUUUAAGUGACGAAUGGCUUCCUGCAUGCAGGCCCUGCCCUGGACACUGGUUAGAGCCACACCAUCUGCUGGGCACUGGUAGAACCACAUUGGCUACUGCAAAACAUAAGACUGUUUUCCUGUGGUCCUCUCACAAGAAAAGUGAGGCCUCAGUAUUGGUGGGCAAAUUGAGAAAACAAAACACAUAUAACUUGUCAUUUAGAAAAUGGAGAAGGCCACCUGAUGUGUUACACUGAGUUUUCAGAAGAGAACAUAUUACACGUGUUAGCCCUCCAGCUCACCUUUAUGCUGAAUUUAAGAGAGUAUCCUUUGGGAUAUCAUAACAGCCUGGGUCAGAUGAUAAACAUCGACCUUCAAAUGUCAGGGCAGUGGCCAGAACUAUGGCAGCUUGAUUACCUGAAAAAGCUUCACACUGCAAAUAUUUAGAAAAGCUGCAUAGUAUUUUUUUUUUCCAAAAAUGCAUUGGUGAUUCUUUAUGGAAAUAUCAGAAACAUGUAACCCAAUGCGGAGGCAGGUAGGGGUGAAGUGGAUUUUGGUUUAAAAAAUAUGAAAGUCUAAUUUUCAUGGCCCAUAAGAGAUAAGAAUUGAGAUCUUGGAGCUACAUAAAUAAGAGUGGGAACUGAGGGUCUCUGAUUGGGGUAUGACUCUGUGAAGAUAGGAUCAGGAAAUUACCUGGGCAGCAGAACAGGAUUAUAAGGAAGUCAGUCUCUUUGUGCCUGAAUUCAGGUAUGAAGAGAGAAAUCUCCCCCAAAUUCAUAAUACAGCCCUUUCCUAAGCACAGGAUCCUGGCUCAAAUUCUCACUUCCCACUCUGCCCUGGAAUUCCUUGGAUAAGAAAUGAGUAUACUAAUUGUUCCAUACCUGUGUGUCCCUUUGGAAUUUGAGAAAAGCAGAGAUAAAAUCUCUUUUGAGAAACACUCUCAUAACAGAGCACAUGGGAAAAAAAGUAAAUCUCAAUAUUAAAAAUUAAAAUAUAUGAGGAUGAAAUAUCCUGCACUCAAAGGUCAGCAGGCACAACAUGCGUAGCAGUGUUAAAACCAGAGUAACCCGGGAUAAAUAAAUAACAGUCUGAAAGAGAAUAUAAAGUAAGUGUGUUUAAAAUGAUUCCAGUUAUAGGCUAAAAAAUAGAUACUAGUAAAAAGGAAUAAAAUAAACAGAUUGUAAAAGAAUAAGCUAAAUCUUUGAGAAAUAAAAUGUAAUCAUUGAAAUUAAAAAUCUCAAUUGGCAGAUAAGCAAAGAAGUGAUAUGGUUGGAGAGAAGAUUAGUGAUCUGGAAGAUACAUAUAAGGAAGAAUACUUAGAACAUAGAGAAAAAAAUGUAAUAUAUGAUAUACAACUUUCAUGUGUUUUUAUAGAGUAUUAUAGAAAGGAAAUAGAAAAAAAAUAGGGAAGAGUAAACAUUCAAAUAAAUGAUUGCUGAGAAUUCUCCAGUACUCUUCAAGGACAGAUCCAAGAAAUAUACUGAGUCCUAAACAGGAAAACCACACGUGGGCACAUUGAAGUGAAUCUACAGAAUGCUAAACCAAAGAUAAAAUAGUAAAAAGCACCAGAGAGAAAAGCAGAACAACUACAAAGGAACAGCAAAUUAUGUAGUACAGAUUUCUUAAAAAAUAAUAAUCAGGAAAUGGUGAAAUAAUGUAGUUAAAAUACGCAGAGGAAAAAAUAUUGCAAAAUUUUAUAUGCAAAUAAGCUGCUAUUCACAGGCAAGAAUGAAAUAAUAUUUUUGUUCACACAAAACCUUAAUAAGAACCACAAACUUUUAAAUAUGGACUUUAAUUUUAAAAAUUAAACAUAAAGAGAAUAAAAAUAUGACAAGAGACUAUGGUAAAUAAAUAAUUGGUAAACAUAUAGGUACAUCUAACAAGUAUUGACAAGGUAAAAUAACUAUAGGUGACUUAGGGACUAUUUUAAUUUGCAAAUAAAUAUAAAAUAUACCAAUGAGGUCCAACUGAACUCUUAGAUAACUAUUGUAUUGAAAGUGCGAGGGAACAAUUGGACGUAAAGGAAACUCAAAUAUUUCUAUAGUUGGUAAAAAUGGCUAAGAAAUUCAUUAAUAUUAGAAUCAAGUAUGUCUGCUAAAGUGUCACCAAAGAACAGAAGGACAAUCUGUAACUUACAAAAAAGUGGAAAGGAAAGGAGGGUCUGGACAGGGAUAAAUAAAAUCUUAAUUUGUGGAAGAAAACAGGAGAGGAGAAGAAAUAAGUGUCCUGUUUUGAUUUUUUCGUAGAAAACAGCAUUUUUGUUACAUGCACAUAAAUGAGUGAGAAGUUUUGUGUCACCAUCUGCUGACAUACCCAGGAGUUUAAAAAUUAAUGCAGUGAACACAGCAGCUGGCAGCACCUCCUUCUACGGCUUUUCCAGGCCCUUUGAGCGUCCCUUGCUUCCCUUCUACACUCUCUCGGUAACGUUAUUAGCAGGUUUGCUAAAAACAAACCCAUGAACCCUCGCAUGGUAAUGCCGGUGUUCACCAGGCCGCACGUUCUUGGCUGCCCCGUGGAAGACAGGAACACAGUCGGCUCCGAGUCUGUGACAGGGAAUCCCCUAGCACCAGGGUCUGGAUGAGGCCUCGCCAGGCUGACUGUGCUCAUAGACACUACUGCCUCCUACUGGUUACCGAGCGGCCAUACAAGUCAGUUUCCCCGCUGUGGAGGUGAAUGGCAAUGACACUCUCCCUAGAGGAUGGUUGUGAGGAAGUCACCAGCGCAGCUGGUGUUGUCGUUCAUUACUUAUCAGUCACACCCCCGAGCUCCAUAGAUGUAUUGCAAUAAAAAUAAAUAAUAACAACAAUUAAUAAAAUAACAAUGGUAGCAAUGAUUACUGUUAUAUUUUUAUGAUUAUUACAUGGUGUAUGUUAUGCUAAACUAUUCCCACAUGCAUGUUGGUUUGGAUGCUGAAGGUCCCCUAGAGUUAGAUGAGUUGAAGACUUGGUCCCAGGUGGCACAACUGGGAGGUGCUGUGGACUCUUGGGUGCUGGAGAGUAAUGGAAAAUCCUAAGGCCCAUUUCAAAGGGAAUUGUAGGAUCCUGGAUCCUUCCUGCCUCUGUUUGCUCUUGCCAUGAUGUGCUGCCUCAUCACAGGCCCAAAGUGAUGGAGCUCUCUGUGAGCAUCUAAAACUAUGGACCCAAAUAAACCUUUUCUCUUUUUAAGUUAAUUGCCUCAUGUAUUUUGUUAGAGUAACACAAAACUGAGUAUUAUACUGCAUAUUAACUAAUUCAUUAACUCAUCCUCCAAACAACCACUUUGAAUAGUAUUUAUUACAUCCCUGUUUUUUUUAAUAUUUAUUUUUUGGUUAG
rnacentral:lncRNA from 1 species